UAAGGAAUAUUGGUCAAUGGGCGGAAGCCUGAACCAGCCAUGCCGCGUGCAGGAUGACUGCCCUAUGGGUUGUAAACUGCUUUUGUCCAGGAAUAAACCUAUCUACGUGUAGAUAGCUGAAUGUACUGGAAGAAUAAGGAUCGGCUAACUCCGUGCCAGCAGCCGCGGUAAUACGGAGGAUCCGAGCGUUAUCCGGAUUUAUUGGGUUUAAAGGGUGCGUAGGCGGCCUAUUAAGUCAGGGGUGAAAUACGGUGGCUCAACCAUCGCAGUGCCUUUGAUACUGAUGGGCUUGAAUCCAUUUGAAGUGGGCGGAAUAAGACAAGUAGCGGUGAAAUGCAUAGAUAUGUCUUAGAACUCCGAUUGCGAAGGCAGCUCACUAAGCUGGUAUUGACGCUGAUGCACGAAAGCGUGGGGAUCGAACA
rnacentral:rRNA from 1 species